CUUCUAUGCAUAUUUUCGAGAGCCACAAACGAAACAAAGUGCAUUACAAAAAGUGAACUUCUCAUGGGAAUUUAUUUUUCUCCUUUGUUACAAAGUAAACCACUAAUCACCACAAAAUGGACCACACCAUUUUUUCUCUAAGUACAUAGCAUGAUAAAAAGAAUCCAGUUUGACAAAAGAACUGCUCAGUACAGUCAAGCGAAGAUCUUCAGCCCAAAGCGACUUUACUUUCUUGUGAUAUGGGCUUCAACUUCUCUCAAAGAGCACUGCAUUUGUUUGAAUAAUUUACAAAAACAACAGAGGCAAAAUUAACAAACUGCUCAAUACUUUCAAGCGGACAUCUUCGGUCCAAAUGACUUUAGUUAUUGUGAUCUUGGCUUCAACUUCUCCCAAAGAGCACCGCAUUUUUGUUUGAAUAAUUUACACAAACAACAAAGGAAAAAUUAAAAACAAUUACAACAGGGAGGACUACCUUUGUUUAAGUAAUUAAAAAAACAUCCUUCAAUGAUAGUUUUUUCUAUUUUUGCGCACUACACGAGCCCAUGCUGGUGUAGCUCCUACAGCAGAGAAGAUUAGGAGUGCCCACUUGAGGAUCCCGCCGGCAGACGGAUUCAGAGAGAGGAGGAGUGGUGGAUAUCUGCAUGUGGUGCCCGGGCGAACCGCAAGCACGCACGCACCAAACUGCACACAGAGCACGACCAGAACCAAAUGCAGAGUGAAGAACCGCGCUGCCGUGCCAAGCAAACCACGCAGGGAGUAGAGGAGUGGUCGAGGAGGCUGUUGGUUGCAAGUGAACUACACGGCAUCCCCGUCCGCACUGCAUGCCCCAGGGCGACUGGGACCUCAACGGAAAAUGGGGAAGGGGAGGUUGACACCGCUGUUCAGUCGAGUACUGCACACGCCCCGCCACCGGGCUGCAGCUCACCUGAGAACUACAUGCCUAGUACCUUUGUACAGCACGCACAGGAGAGCAUCACACUACACAUUUGACUGGGCCGUGGACAGCAUGGUGUGCACCCGCGGACUGCAUGACGCGUGCGGCGGCGGACGGGCAGCGGCCGACGAAGCCGUGCUUCUAUGAGGCCGUCGAGGCACGAGGUUGGACGGCCGGAGAUGCACCUAGAGGCACCGAUGUGGGGCAGCAGGCUAGGCACCCACGCCCACGGUGACAGUACCCCCCGUGGGUUGAAGAAGAUGGUGGAGAGCUAGCCGCGUACAUGCAGGCAUCGGCGCCGCAGCGUGCA
rnacentral:rRNA from 1 species